rnacentral:rRNA from 1 species
GAUGAACGCUAGCGGGAGGCCUAACACAUGCAAGCCGAGCGGUAUUUGUUCUUCGGAACUGAGAGAGCGGCGCACGGGUGCGGAACACGUGUGCAACCUGCCUUUAUCUGGGGGAUAGCCUUUCGAAAGGAAGAUUAAUACCCCAUAAUAUAUUGAGUGGCAUCAUUUGAUAUUGAAAACUCCGGUGGAUAGAGAUGGGCACGCGCAAGAUUAGAUAGUUGGUGAGGUAACGGCUCACCAAGUCAAUGAUCUUUAGGGGGCCUGAGAGGGUGAUCCCCCACACUGGUACUGAGACACGGACCAGACUCCUACGGGAGGCAGCAGUGAGGAAUAUUGGACAAUGGGUUAGCGCCUGAUCCAGCCAUCCCGCGUGAAGGACGACGGCCCUAUGGGUUGUAAACUUCUUUUGUAUAGGGAUAAACCUACUCUCGUGAGAGUAGCUGAAGGUACUAUACGAAUAAGCACCGGCUAACUCCAUG